UCACUGGCACUUUUGAUCAGUUUAAUGCAUCCUUACUAAAUAAAAGCAUUCUUGUUUUUUUUAAUAAACAAAUAGAUAUGUAUAUAAUAGUUGUGCAUCGCUGAGCGAGGAGGUGUUGUUGUUGUCUGCAGUGAGUGACGGUGUGGACCGCUCCAGUGACCGCUCGAGCGUCCAGCAUCAUCCUGCGUUACUGAUGGAGAGCUACAGCUCGUCCCCGUCUCCUCCGAACGUCUCGUCCUCCGUCCUGGAGCUGCAGAAUCAGAGCAGCACGUUCAUCACAGCGAGCAAGACUUCAGGUCUGUUAGGCCUCUCGACUCUGGUCUGAAUCAAACGCUUCAGAUCACUGUGAAUCCAUCGAGAUCAUCGGAGUGCGGUGAAAGCAGCGUUUGACUGUGAACUUGGACGUGUUCGGACAGACGGAGAGCAAAUGCACUGAGACAUUUCAUAGUUUCAUAGACUGAUAAACGUCCAGAGCCUCGCUGAUGAAUAUGAAUUACAGAAUAAAAGCCCCUCAGCAGCGCUGGUACGUGACACGACCGAUCACCGCUGUUUUACUUUCACUUCAGAGACUUCACCACUCCACAUCUGACUCAGUAUUUCUGAUUGAUUUGAGUUCUGGCACUACUAAUAAAAUCCGGACAGGAUUGCAUUUUUAUUAAGGAUUGAGUCCCACUUUUUACUAUGGCAAUAUAAAUAAAAGAGUAAAGUAAAU